CAUAGGAGAGACUGCUAUGACAUUGUCUGAUCCUGUGAGGAAAUGUGGCCCUUCACUGUUAAAAGGAAGGACCUUUAACUACCCAUGUCUGUUAGUCACUAUCAUCAGUAAGGUUCCAAAUAUUCGUCUCCUUCUAGAGCAGCCACACUAAGGCACUUCAGCAGAUGAAGAAAAUGGAUUGCAGUGAACAGCAAGGGAAGUUACCUGAUUAUGAGUUGAUUAACAAUUAAUCACAUAUAUAUUGUCUGCACUUGUUUAUAAAACAGGUAAUGGUCAAAGCAACUAACCUUUAACCCUUAUCUGUCCUUGAUUUGAAAUACCAGAUCUAUCCCAAGACCUGAGCAUCUGACUGUGACAGAAACAAAUACUGAAGGAGAAUGUACUUGAUCAAAACUCAAAUCUCACCUAAAGACAUGUCAACUGCUUCUGAACUGAUUAAAGCUGAUUUGUAGUAUUUCCUCAA